rnacentral:rRNA from 1 species
GACGAACGCUGGCGGCGUGCUUAACACAUGCAAGUCGAACGGAAAGGCCCUGCUUUUGUGGGGUGCUCGAGUGGCGAACGGGUGAGUAACACGUGAGUAACCUGCCCUUGACUUUGGGAUAACUUCAGGAAACUGGGGCUAAUACCGGAUAGGAGCUCCUGCUGCAUGGUGGGGGUUGGAAAGUUUCGGCGGUUGGGGAUGGACUCGCGGCUUAUCAGCUUGUUGGUGGGGUAGUGGCUUACCAAGGCUUUGGCGGGUAGCCGGCCUGAGAGGGUGACCGGCCAAAUGGGGACGGAGAUCCGGCCCGGACUCCUACGGGAGGCAGCAGUGGGAAAUAUUGCACAAUGGGCGGAAGCCUGAUGAAGAAACGCCGCGUGGGGUAUGACGGCCUUCGGGUUGUAACCCGCUUUCGCAUGUAACGAAGCGUGAGUGACGGUAAUGGGUGAAGAAGCACCGGCUAACUACGUG